UACAUGUGGGGCAAGCGUUGUUCGGAAUUACUGGGCAUAAAGGGUGCGUAGGUGGUUUGUUAAGUCAGGGGUGAAAUCCCUCGGCUCAACCGGGGAACUGCGUCCGAUACUGGCGGGCUUGAAUUCGGGAGAGGGAUGUGGAAUUCCAGGUGUAGCGGUGAAAUGCGUAGAUAUCUGGAGGAACACCGGUGGCGAAGGCGGCAUCCUGGACCGACAUUGACGCUGAGGCGCGAAAGCCAGGGGAGCAAACGGG
rnacentral:rRNA from 1 species